rnacentral:rRNA from 1 species
UACGUAGGGGGCGAGCGUUGUCCGGAUUUAUUGGGUGUAAAGAGCGUGUAGGCGGCCAGGUAGGUCUGCUGUGAAAACUCGAGGCUCAACCUCGAGACGUCGGCGGAAACCAUCUGGCUAGAGUCCGGAAGAGGAGAGUGGAAUUCCUGGUGUAGCGGUGAAAUGCGCAGAUAUCAGGAAGAACACCCGUGGCGAAGGCGGCUCUCUGGGACGGUACUGACGCUGAGACGCGAAAGCGUGGGUAGCAAACAGG